CCAAUGUAGUGGGUCCAACCAGCAUUAAAAAAGAAAGAAAGAAAGAAAGAAAGAAAGAAUAGAAAAUAUCAGAGUACAUAACAAGUAGUAAAGGAAGUCACCAUCUUCGGUGGGGACCUUUCUCAGACAAUCUAUUCUUCCACAAUUCUCCUUGAGCAACCAAGAUAUUAACGGGGAAGACUUGAAGUUUCUAUGCUGCUUGAUCCAGAAUUUUCUCACCAUGGAUGUGGGGUUCUCACCUUUGAAGGAAAUGGAAACGGUACAAACCAGCAUUUGAGUGAAUGAACACUGAAAAUGCAUGCUGCAACCAACCACUGGAUCAGGGUACAAGACAAAUAAUGGUUCUAGUGGAACUUGGGGGAAAAGCACUUUUACAUGGAAUUUAAUAUAUUGUUCCCUGACUUAUCUUUGUUUAUGAUUCUAUAGUUGGAUAAUUGUUUUCCUCAAUCCUAUGACAAAAAGAGUUGGAGGCGUCAGGAAGAGCAAGAACAAUUUGGCUCUCAGUGAAUUUUUAAUAAACAAUGUGUUGCAUCAAGAACAAUUAAAUGCUUUUAAAUGUAAGAUAAUUUUACUUAGACAAAUGGUUUUUGAGAAGUACUUUCAAGACAGA
rnacentral:lncRNA from 1 species